ACUACUUUGGCAGAUAAGUGCAAUGAAUUUAGAAUUCAUGAAUAUAAAUAAUAUUUAUAGGUAGUA
rnacentral:tRNA from 1 species